UGAGGAAUAUUGGUCAAUGGGCUUACGCCUGAACCAGCCAAGUCGCGUGAGGGAAGACUGCCCUAUGGGUUGUAAACCUCUUUUGUCAGGGAGCAAUUGGCGCUACGUGUAGCGUUAUCGAGAGUACCUGAAGAAAAAGCAUCGGCUAACUCCGUGCCAGCAGCCGCGGUAAUACGGAGGAUGCGAGCGUUAUCCGGAUUUAUUGGGUUUAAAGGGUGCGUAGGCGGAAUGCCAAGUCAGCGGUAAAAUCGCGGGGCUCAACCUCGCUCCGCCGUUGAAACUGGCGUUCUUGAGUGGGCGAGAAGUAUGCGGAAUGCGUGGUGUAGCGGUGAAAUGCAUAGAUAUCACGCAGAACUCCGAUUGCGAAGGCAGCAUACCGGCGCCCAACUGACGCUGAAGCACGAAAGCGUGGGUAUCGAACAGG
rnacentral:rRNA from 2 species